CAGUCGCCACGGGAAUACGUAGGUGGCAAGCGUUGUCCGGAAUCAUUGGGCGUAAAGCGCGCGCAGGUGGUUUAAUAAGUCUGAUGUGAAAGCCCACGGCUCGACCGUGGAGGGUCAUUGGAAACUGUUAAACUUGAGUGCAGAAGGGGAGAGUGGAAUUCCAUGUGUAGCGGUGAAAUGCGUAGAGAUUAGGAGGAACACCAGUGGCGAAGGCGGCUUUUUGGCCUGUAACUGACACUGAGGCGCGAAAGUGUGGGGAGCAAACAGGAUUAGAUACCCCAGUAGUCCCUGUCUCUUAUAA
rnacentral:rRNA from 1 species